GAGCUAAAAAGACUUCCAAGAAGACCCUAAGACAAAAUGAAGGCUCUCAUUUUGAUCGGUGCCAUCUUGAUUGUCACUGCUUGCUUCUCGCCAGCUGAUGCACAUAAGCGGAAAAGCUUCAGGUUUAGUGAAAGUUCCGAAGAGCAUUUAAAACUACUUAAACAAUUAAGUUCUAAACUGUCAAGAGGAUAUUUUGCAAAAUCUGAAACGGCUCCUGGAAGUCCAUAUGGUCACCACGGUCGUCAUGAACCCCACAGAGGUUGCCAUCCCCCUCACUCCCCCCACCAUCACCAAAGCCCACCUGGUCCACCACCCAGACCUAUAUCACCACCUGAGAACACUGUAAAUCCUCAAGCACCAUCAGCCCCUUCUAGUGCUGACCCAAUCCUAAUUUAUACCACCACCACUGCUGCUGCCAACACCACCACUGCCACUGUUUCUGCGGGAAAAACUGCAGGCGUGACAUCCACCACCAUGGCUCCCAACACCCCCCAACCUGAAGACAUCACCAGUGCCCCUGUGGCUGGCACUACCACUGCCCCAGCAGCUAACCCUACUACUGUCAACCAGCAACAAGUAAUUUAGUAAAUUCCACACCAGUCCAAGAUUACAAACGUACCAAACCACAAGGAGACCAAGGCAAAUCAAGGUAAACGAUACUUUCCAAAAUGUUUUCUAACUAAAUGAGUAACUUUACAAUGUGUCUAAAUAAGGGC
rnacentral:lncRNA from 1 species